GUAACACGUAUCCAACCUGCCGAUGACUCGGGGAUAGCCUUUCGAAAGAAAGAUUAAUACCCGAUAGUAUAAUGAUUCCGCAUGGUUUCAUUAUUAAAGGAUUCCGGUAAAGGAUGGGGAUGCGUUCCAUUAGGUUGUUGGUGAGGUAACGGCUCACCAAGCCUUCGAUGGAUAGGGGUUCUGAGAGGAAGGUCCCCCACAUUGGAACUGAGACACGGUCCAAACUCCUACGGGAGGCAGCAUG
rnacentral:rRNA from 1 species